rnacentral:rRNA from 1 species
GACGAACGCUGGCGGCGUGCUUAACACAUGCAAGUCGAACGGAAAGGCCCUGCUUUUGUGGGGUGCUCGAGUGGCGAACGGGUGAGUAACACGUGAGUAACCUGCCCUUGACUUUGGGAUAACUUCAGGAAACUGGGGCUAAUACCGGAUAGGAGCUCCUGCUGCAGGGUGGGGGUUGGAAAGUUUAGGCGGUGGGGGAUGGACUCGCGGCUUAUCAGCUUGUUGGUGGGGUAGGGGCUUACCAAGGCUUUGACGGGUAGCCGGCCUGAGAGGGUGACCGGGGACAUUGGGACUGAGAUACGGCGCAGAGUCCUACGGUGGGCAGCGGUGGGAAACAUUGCCCAAUGGGCGGAAGCGUGAUGCGGAGGCGCCGCGUUCGGGAUGACGGCUUGCGGGUUGUAAAACGCUGCCGCUUGUGACGAAGCGUGAGUGACGGUAAUGGAUAAAGAAGCACCGGCUAACUACGUG